ensembl:lncRNA
AUAGAGAGAGUGUUUAUGGUGAAAGAGAGAGUGUUUGGGGUGAUAGAGAGAGUGUUUAUGGUGAAAGAGAGAUGUUUGGGGGUGAUAGAGAGAGUGUUUAUGGUGAAAGAGAGAGUGUUUGGGUUGUAGAGAGUGUUUGGGGUUGUAGAGAGUGUUUAUGGUGAAAGAGAGAGUGUUUGGGGUUGUAGAGAGUGUUUGGGGUUGUAGAGAGUGUUUAUGGUGAAAGAGAGAGUGUUUAUGGUGAAAGAGAGAGUGUUUAUGGUGAAAGAGAGUGUUUGGGGUUGUAGAGAGAGUGUUUAUGGUGAAAGAGAGAGUGUUUGGGGUUGUAGAGAGUGUUUAGGGUGAAAGAGACAGUGUUUGGGGUUGUAGAGAGUGUUUAGGGUGAAAGAGAGAGUGUUUAGGGUGAAAGAGAGAGUGUUUAGGGUGAAAGAGAGAGUGUUUAGGGUGAUAGAGAGAGUGUUGGGGUUGUAGAGAGUGUUUAGGGUGAAAGAGAGAGUGAAAGAGAAAUUCUAAAUGAAAAUGAAAAAA